UACGGGGGGGGGCAAGCGUUUGUUCGGAAUUACUGGGCGUAAAGGGCCAGUAGGCGGCCAACUAAGUCGGAUGUGAAAUCCCCGGCUACUACGGGAACUGCUCCGAUACUGGCGGCUUGAAUCGGGAGAGGGAUGCGGAAUUCCAGGUGUAGCGGUGAAAUGCGUAGAUAUCUGGAGGAACACCGGUGGCGAAGGCGGCGUUCUGGACUGUAACUGACACUGAAAAACGAAAGCCAGGGGA
rnacentral:rRNA from 1 species